rnacentral:rRNA from 1 species
UACGUAGGGUGCGAGCGUUAAUCGGAAUUACUGGGCGUAAAGCGUACGCAGGCGGCUGCGCAAGACAGGUGUGAAAUCCCUGGGCUCAACCCAGGAACUGCGUCCGAUACUGGUUGGCUUGAAUCCGGGAGAGGGAUGCGGAAUUCCAGGUGUAGCGGUGAAAUGCGUAGAUAUCUGGAGGAACACCGGUGGCGAAGGCGGCAUCCUGGACCGGCAUUGACGCUGAGGCGCGAAAGCCAGGGGAGCAAACGGG